UAUAAAGUACAGCUUAUUCGUCUUUACCUUGUAUUCCCUUUGAGCAAUAAUUUGCAGCCUUUUUAGUUGAAAGUAUGUAAAAGAUCAUGUUCACACACAGUGUAAGGGCUAUAUACUGUUACCCAGCAAGCUAUGGCGACACAGCUCUUUCUCCCAAGAACUAUAGAGGAAUAACCUUGAAUCAAAUAGAUUUUUAAAAGUGGAUAGAUCGUUAUUUAAGACACAUGGUAUAACUGUUCAAUUCGUGUAGUUAUACACACUCUCAGACUGGGAAUGAGGCAGAAGCUAUUUUCCCAGGAUCCUCCACCAUGGAACCUACCCACACCUCAGCUCUCAGUUUCUGUUUGCUCUGAGGACCUGGCUCUUCUCUGAGACUGUCACUAAAAUGAAUCCCCUUUAAGACGAGAUUUUAAACCAUCCACCUUCCCUCAGCAACUCAUGAGAUCAUAUGGCCAUGACAGAACCACAUUAAAACAGAAAAAUAAGCCCAUUUCUAAACAAGAGAUACAUUCACCCAGUGGCAGGGAGACUUUCAGUUCUCAAUAAAUGUUUGCUGAGAGGCUGUAAUGGUAUCUUAUUGCUGUUAUUUUCAGAAUCCCAGGAAUCUACAGAACUAUUUUUUUAUAAGAUAUGACCUAGUUUUAUAUUUCUAGGGGGAAAUGAAUUCAUGGCUAGAAGUCUGGAGUGAACAAACAAGAACAAGAAAUAAAAAGAAGACAAAAGCAACCCACAGAAGACUCCAGUAUGAACAAGACACAUGUUAAAAGUUGGGGAAAUCAUUCAUCCAGACUGGAGAAGCAUGUUAAGACUGCUCAAUAGAAUGCAUGUGGAGACAAGUAUAUUCCCAUGACUCAGGGACCUCCCCUUCUCCGUUAACUCCUGGGGAGUGAGAGGAUGGGAUAAUUGCAUCUCACUGAAUCCUUAGUUAUAUGUGCUGUAAUGUUGCUUUGAAGAAGUUCCUGGAAAGUUUCAACCACCAUAUAUUCAUAUCUUAUAUUCUGCACACUGAGCUGUGGUAUAUGCUCUAAGAAACUGCAAAUCAGCUUCACAACUCAGAGGUGACUGCAUUUUCGUGAAGGGUCAAAUGAUUCACUUCUCAUUACAAUGCUUUCAAAAGUGCCUUGGCUGCUUCUCCCACUUGACAAAUGCCAAAGAUGUGGAAAAUUAUAAUUUUGGUGUAAACAAAGAAGUUGGGUGACACUGGUUUUCUAAAUAAUCUUAGCACCUUCUUUUUUGAACAAAUGGCAUUUUAUUUCUCAGAUUGGCAUUGACCUGUGAAUGGCCCAGGGAAGGAUCUCUCACCUUAUUGUGUGACAUUAUGUCAUUACAAGGUUUGAGGGUUCUACUUUCUUUCUAUACCUCAGCUUUCAACAGCAUCCAAAGCACUGGGACUCAAUUGGAGUGAUUUUACUCCCUCUUUUCUCUCAGGGACAUUUGGCAAUGUCUGGAGUCAACUGUGGUUGUCACCACUUGAGUAAGGCAGUGCAAGGUGCCACUGUCACCUAGUGAAUGGAUCCCAGGGAUGCUGCCUGAUAUCCUACAAUGUACAGGACAUUUCCCCACAACAGGGAUUCUCUGUCCCAAAUGUCAAUUGUGCCAAAGUCAUGAAACCCUGAUUUAGAGUAGAAAGAAAACUAGGCGAGAGGAGAGCAAACAAACCUAUUUGCUUCUUAAAAACAAGCAUUGGCUUCUGUCCCUUUGGCUACUGCCCCUUUGGCUACUGCUUCAGCUCAGAGAGCCAGAUCUCUGUGUUGGGCAACCAGAAUAACAUCUUUCAGUGAACAGAGAUGACAAGGCAUGAGGGAAAUUCCUAAUGGGAUUAUCUUUAGCUCAUUGAGCUUCUAAAUUCCUUUCCCUUUAUUCUACCCUAUGAACUAAGCUCUGUAAGAAACCUAAAUUCCAUCUCAAGUUCUUUCACUCUGGAUUUUAGGUCUCAGGACUCUGCCUAGCCAAAACACAAAUUAAGGCAACAAAUAUGUACCUUUCUUGAACACAUAGAGACUUUGGAAGUUUUUUUUUUUUUUUUUUUUCAUCUUUUUUCUUCCUUUAAGGUCCUGACGGGGCCUGGAGUGUGCUAGGUAAGUGUUCUACCACUGAGCUAUAUGCUAGCCCACACAGAGACUUCUAAAAGAAAGCAGGGAAAUGACCUUUUGAGGCUUUGAGGAACAAAAUCUUGAUGAAAAAGAAUGUUUUGUUUCCAGCCCCCUCCCCACACUUUUCGUAGGUGGACCAUUGCCUCCCUGGCCCUUUGAACUCUGUGUUAUAUUUUGUUAUAGAAAAACCUCAUUUUAGAGCGCUGACCAUUCAAGAGAAAGAUUAUUAAAUAUACAUUUCCUAUGCUGUUGUCUGCCUGA
rnacentral:lncRNA from 1 species